UACGAAGGGGGCUAGCGUUGUUCGGAAUCACUGGGCGUAAAGGGCGCGUAGGCGGCCGCUCAAGUCGGGGGUGAAAGCCUGUGGCUUAACCACAGAAUUGCCUUCGAUACUGUUUGGCUUGAGACCGGAAGAGGUGAGUGGAACUGCGAGUGUAGAGGUGAAAUUCGUAGAUAUUCGCAAGAACACCAGUGGCGAAGGCGGCUCACUGGCCCGGUACUGACGCUGAGGUGCGAAAGCGUGGGGAGCAAACAGG
rnacentral:rRNA from 1 species